GUAGAGGAGUUUGUUAGAAUAACAUUUGUGCAUAUUUUCGAUAACGACAGUCAAAUCUAUCGAAAUAAUAGAUCUAGGCAAGAGAAGACAGGUAAAAAGCUAGGAGCUAGGAGAUUUUCGGAUCACGAAUUUAGGACAUAAAAUGGUAGCCGAAAAGUAUGAUAAAGCCGUACCUGAGCUAAAGGAAGAAUUGAAAAGGAUUGCUGAGCAGAUUGUAGCUCCUGGAAAAGGAAUUCUUGCUGCUGACGAAUCUACGACCACGAUUGGUAAACGUCUAAAAGACAUUAACGUAGAGAACAAUGAGGAUAACCGAAGAGCAUACAGACAAUUACUUUUUACUGCGGCAAAGGACGUCAUUGGACAACAUAUCUCUGGUGUGAUUCUAUUUCAUGAGACUCUAUACCAGAAAGCUAAUGAUGGUACACCAUUCGUCGAGCUUUUGAAACAACGUAACAUUAUUCCUGGUAUCAAGGUUGAUAAGGGUGUCGUGCCACUAUUUGGUACAAACGAUGAAUGUACGACUCAGGGACUGGAUGAUCUUCAAGCACGUUGCAUUCAAUACAAAAAGGAUGGCUGCCAUUUCGCCAAGUGGAGAUGCGUUCUUAAAAUUACAAAGGAUACGCCAAGCAAGCUUGCCAUCUUAGAAAACGCGAAUGUUCUCGCUCGUUACGCUUCGAUUUGUCAGAGCGCAAGAAUCGUACCGAUUGUUGAGCCCGAAAUACUUCCUGAUGGUGAUCACGAUCUUGCCCGUUGUCAACAAGUUACAGAAGAGGUUCUUUCUGCUGUUUACAAGGCAUUGGCCGAUCAUCAUGUCUAUCUCGAGGGAACUCUCUUGAAACCAAACAUGGUAACAGCGGGUCAAAGUUGUCCGAAGAAGGCAACACCUCAAGAAAUUGCAGCAGCAACUGUAACUGCGUUGUUGCGUACAGUUCCACCUGCAGUACCUGGAAUCACCUUCUUGAGCGGUGGACAAUCCGAAGAAGAGGCCUCAGUGAACUUGGACGCUAUCAACAAGUUCCCGGCUAAGAAACCUUGGGCAUUGACCUUUAGCUAUGGUCGUGCCCUUCAGGCCUCCGUUCUCCGUGCUUGGGCUGGUAAAAAUGAUCAAGUAACAGCGGGACAGGAAGAACUUAUCAAGAGGGCUAAGGCAAACAGUGCUGCUUGCCAAGGCAAAUACGUUGCUGGCAGUAUUUCUAGCAAAGCUGGUGGCACUUCUUUGUAUGUCAAAUCUCAUGCAUAUUAAAAUUCUCUUUCCUUACUCUGUGUGUGUGACGCUGUUUAUGUACUCUUAUAUAUAACAGCCAACAGCGAAUCAGCACUUGGUAAAUACGCGGGAGGCGUCACAGGAGCUGCCGGCGAUGCUGCACUUUUCGUAGCGAAUCACGCAUAU
rnacentral:misc_RNA from 1 species